rnacentral:rRNA from 1 species
UACGAAGGAGGCUAGCGUUGCUCGGAAUGACUGGGCGUAAAGGGCGCGUAGGCGGUUUGCACAGUCAGAUGUGAAAUUCCUGGGCUCAACCUGGGGGCUGCAUUUGAUACGUGUAGACUUGAGUGGGGAAGAGGGUCGUGGAAUUCCCAGUGUAGAGGUGAAAUUCGUAGAUAUUGGGAAGAACACCGGUGGCGAAGGCGGCGACCUGGUCCUUGACUGACGCUGAGGCGCGAAAGCGUGGGGAGCAAACAGG